GACAGACUUCAACAAAUUUCAGGGCAUCAUUUCAUUUGUGAAUAUUAAAGGAGUGCACUGGAAGUUACUGUAUGUAUUGCCUGCCAUAAGUGCAGUUUUUUUCCUGGAUCCUGAGAAAAAUGAGUCAGAGCAAGCCGAGUCGGAGAAAGCUGCAAAAAGAAUUCAGGAAUAUCUGAGGAUGCGCAUGAUCCUCCAUGGAAAAAAUGACUGGGGA